UACAGAGGGUGCGAGCGUUAAUCGGAAUUACUGGGCGUAAAGCGUGCGUAGACGGCUAUCUAAGUCGGGUGUGAAAGCCCCGGGCUCAACCUGGGAAUUGCAUUCGAGACUGAAUAGCUAGGGUACGGUAGAGGGAAGUGGAAUUUCCGGUGCAGCGGUGAAAUGCGUAGAUAUCGGAAGGAACAUCAGUGGCGAAAGCGACUUCCUGGACCAGUACCGACGUUCAGGCACGAAAGCGUGGGGGGCAAACAGG
rnacentral:rRNA from 1 species